UACGGGGGGGGCAAGCGUUGUUCGGAAUUACUGGGCGUAAAGGGCUCGUAGGUGGCCAACUAAGUCGGACGUGAAAUCCCUCGGCUUAACCGGGGAACUGCGUCCGAUACUGGUUGGCUUGAGUUUGGGAGAGGGAUGCGGAAUUCCUGGUGUAGCGGUGGAAUGCGCAGAUAUCAGGAGGAACACCGGUGGCGAAGGCGGAUCUCUGGGCCAUAACUGACGCUGAGGAGCGAAAGCAUGGGGAGCGAACAGG
rnacentral:rRNA from 1 species